CUUCCGUAUCCGGUCAGCUGUAAUGGAUGCCGUAUGCCGAGCUUGCGAACUGCGAACAUGUGUGACUCCCGGUUCAUCCUCUUUGUUCGGGUCAUUGGGUUGGUGUUGGAGUUGGUCGCCAUAUUCUGAACGUUUCACCUAUCGUUGCGGUGUACUGUUCUUGAUCUGCUGCGAAGCGACGAACCGCAACGGCAGUCACUCGCCUCAGCGAAAUUCUGUCUGCUGCAUCUCAAAGGAGCAUGGGGACCUGAUGAUACCUUCAACUAAAGAAACCAAGUGUGCUCUCGUGUGGUCCUGACGGAAAAGUAGUUUAAACAAGGUUAGCAGAUUUAUUUUUCAGUUCCAAGUCUACGUACUGAAAACCAUGCAAGUGCAGUCGAUCAUUCUCGUAGCUGUUGUGUAACGCGUAUGCUUUCUUACGUAUCCCACAGAACCCUCCACUUUUUCAACCAGGGGCCCUAUCCUCGUCAAAAGUAAUCGACCUCGAUUACUUUACGUCACAAGCUGUAGGGCGGGGCUGCCACGAAAUACUCCGCCCAUAAAUCCCGCCCGUUUCAAUUGAAAUUUAUACCUAGUUUUCCUUCGCAGCCUCUCGGCCCUAAUCUAGGACCGUGACCCUACGUCAUUUUGACGUAACAAUGACGUAAAAGAUUAGGUUCAAAGCUGAAAAGUAAUGUAGCGAAAGAGGGUCAUUUACUUUGAGCGGCGAUGGGUUUCGUGAUGGGUCCGCAUGUGCAUUUCCACUUACUGUGUUGUAUAAAGUCUGUAUGUGCUCGUCACAACAAAAAAGUCCUAUCUUUCUUCGUUUUUGUUUAAUAAUGAUAGAAAAGCACCGCGUAACACCGUUUCUCUGCGCCGAUCGCGGCAUCGUAUGCGUGAAAGUGGCGGGCUUUUCGAAGCGUCGUCCGAGCCGUACGUCGUACGAUCAAUGUUAUUGCAACGUAGCGGUGUGCACACAAAAAACUCAUCGAUCAAAGUUCACUGUUUGUUGAGUAAAACUAUCAACGCUCAUUUGCGGUAUCAUUACCACCCCCACAGCUCACGAGAAAAAGAAGCAUAUUGAAAUGCGAAUUAUCAUUUCGCAUAUCGAGCACACGAACACACAGAAAAAUAUAAAGAAAAGCUCAUAAAUAAAGCUAAAGAUUUAAACACGAACAGAUUUCUCAUGAACGCAUUUACGGCUCGCGCCACACUGUCCGUUCGACCCUUUGCAAUGAUCCUUCGCGCUUUCAUCGUUUUGUUGCCUGCCAUCAGAGCCAUCUCACGGGCACAUACCGAAUUAUAAAUGCAAAGUACAAUCACGGUGUCACAUAAACAUUUCCGUCUUGCACACCUGUACGUCAAGAAAAAUGACAAACAGCAAAAAAGGAAACUACGAGCGUGCUUUUCCGCGCAUUUUCCACGAAAUUCAGUUUUACGCCGGUAGAGUUUUCUGUUUCCGACACCUAAGCACCCAUGUAAGCACCGAAGCAACAAGGCAGGCCGGGCAGAUCACAGGUGUGGCCGAUAAGGCGGGUCGCUUUCCAAGAUAACACGUGGGGCGAUUGGUUGAUAGAAGGUGUCAACAGCUUUUAAUAUUCACGCCUUUUUCGAUUGUGCACCAAUGACAGAAGAAAUUUCAAGUAAUCGAGGUAGAUUACUUUGACCAGGAUAGAGCCCCAAGUUAUCUUUAUGAGAUCCUUCUGAUGGCUUCUUACUAGGCUAUGCCGCUCCGAAGCAUUGAGAUGGGGAAGCGUCGUGGUAGCUGCACCUCCGCUUUCGAAAGACGAAACAGUCUUUCCACACUGUGCUUACUGGCUUUGUAUAGAGUCUGGCAAAUCCGACAGACUUGGACAGCCUUUUUCAAGAAAGUUUGAAAUGUUAAAGCAUCCCUUAUGCACCUGCAUUUCAAUUCCAAUCUGUAUUACAAGAAUGACAGACCACUCAACAGAGAUGAACAUCUGAAAGUGAAAGAGCUGGAACGAAGAUACGUUAAUCUGUGUCAAAGGUUCUUAGUAUGUGUGCGAGUCGAGGACAUAGGUCUCAAGCUAAUUCCUGUCUUCAGAAGAGGUGACAACUAUGCUCCUUCUAUCUAUUAACCAGCUCCACUUUUUAGGGUUCCCUGUAAACUAAUGGAGCACAUCAUGUACUACCACGUUGUCAACCAAGUUGAGUCUGUCGAUUUCUUUUUUUAAAUUCCAGCAUGGCUUUAGAAAAGGGUAUUCAAGCAGAACUAACUUAGUGGAAUUCGUUCACAGCAUUUUGAACUGUCUUGAUUUCUGGGUCCACGUAGAUGUAGUAUUUUUUUAUUUUGUAAGGGCUUUUGACACUGUGCUGUAUGCUUGCGUGUUGGCCAAAGUAGCCGAAUUAAAAUUUGAUCCUGCUAACUGGAUAUGCAGUUUCUCAACUAACCGUAACCGUUGCGACAACUCGUGAGGAGAACCUAUCAUAUCGCCACCAUGCAGCAUUUGUUAUGUUACAAUCACUUCACAUUUUAAUCUAGUCAAAAGCAAGGCCUUUUGGUGAUCGGUCUUGUAUGAUUACAUGCCCCUCCGUUAUGUAACCCCACACUGGGUUCUUCAACCUAUGAGAGAUAAAUAAAUAUAUUUCCAAGUA